CUGGAAGAAAGAGGAGAAGCACAUUUUUUAACACAACGGUGACCACGGAAAGCCUAGUGAUGGAUAACGGAGCACGGGCCCCCUUUCUUUUGCUAAAUCACCCACGGAAAAGUUACCACAGCACGGCUGCCAAGGCAAUCACCAAGGGUCGCUAAGGUGAAGGAAAACUGCGUGUUGCGUUUUUGGUGCUGGGGUUUCAAGUUUCACCUCCCGCACCACUGUUAUCCAAACACCGCAUACACGCCGUUCUGAAGUGUUGUGAAGAAGAUUCGGAAGAAAAACACGUUUUUUUGCUGCUAGUGAAUCCCGCGCCUGUGUGUGUGUGUAUGCUAGCAAAUUUUCAUACCACCCUCUGACGGGGAACCGACACUCACUGCCUGCUGGUGCUCGUAUUCGAUUGCCGUCUUACUGAUCGGAUUUUCUCGCGACGAGCGAAAUUUUCCCCACUUUUCCGUCUGCACCCACACACCCUAGCGCAAAACCCACCCACCCGGGGCGGUGAGCGAUGUUUUUUGUUGUUGUGUUGCGAUUGAUUGAAGAAAGACCGUUCGACGCGCACUUUCACUGGUUCCCGGACUGGGUAGACACUCGACACGCGUGGAACCUCUGCUGCGUACACGUACGGUACACGGUCGCGGUUCGUACUGUGAUUGAACGCGUGUACAUCGGUUUCACCGGGAUACGAUACAACACUGCCCGGUGGGUGCCUCUUACCCGAUGAAAACUCAACGCGAGCGGGUGGGGCAAGGAAAACCCGUGUCUGCGAGCGCACAGCGCAAUUUCUAUGCUUUCCGUCGUCACACACGGAAACGAACGGUUCGGAUGUCUCGUCGACGGACUCGUUGGGGCUGGACUGUUCGCCGAUAUUCGCGCGAAGAAAGAUGUUGUCAGCAGGGGUUGCUCGGUAAGCGUUUUAUCGUUUCGCUCGCCAUACUUGCGACAACUUUUCGCUCCAACGAAAGAUACACCAUCGAAAAUAUACAAAAAAUGAUUUUUUUUUAUGAUA